CAGCCGCCGCGGGAAUACGUAGGUGGCAAGCGUCGUCCGGAAUUAUUGGGCGUAAAGGGCUCGCAGGCGGUUUCUUAAGUCUGAUGUGAAAGCCCCCGGCUCAACCGGGGAGGGUCAUUGGAAACUGGGAAACUUGAGUGCAGAAGAGGAGAGUGGAAUUCCACGUGUAGCGGUGUAAUGCGUAGAGAUGUGGAGGAACACCAGUGGCGAAGGCGACUCUCUGGUCUGUAACUGACGCUGAGGAGCGAAAGCGUGGGGAGCGAACAGGAUUAGAUACCCGUGUAGUCCCUGUCUCUUAUAC
rnacentral:rRNA from 1 species